AUUGAACGCUGGCGGCAGGCUUAACACAUGCAAGUCGAGCGGGGACUUCGGUCCUAGCGGCGCACGGGUGAGUAACGCGUGGGAACCUGCCUUUCGGUACGGGAUAACGUUUGGAAACGAACGCUAAUACCGUAUAUGUCUUUGGAUGAAAGAUUUAUCGCCGGAAGAGGGGCCCGCGUCUGAUUAGGUAGUUGGUGAGGUAAUGGCUCACCAAGCCUUCGAUCAGUAGCUGGUCUGAGAGGAUGAUCAGCCACACUGGGACUGGGACACGGCCCAGACUCCUACGGGAGGCAGCAGUGGGGAAUAUUGGACAAUGGGCGCAAGCCUGAUCCAGCAAUGCCGCGUGAGUGAUGAAGGCCUUCGGGUUGUAAAGCUCUUUUACCUGCGACGAUGAUGACGGUAGCAGGAGAAUAAGCCCCGGCUAACUUCGUGCCAGCCGCCGCCGUAAAAC
rnacentral:rRNA from 1 species